rnacentral:rRNA from 1 species
GUGGGGAAUAUUGGACAAUGGGCGCAAGCCUGAUCCAGCAAUGCCGCGUGGGUGAAGAAGGCCUUCGGAUUGUAAAGCACUUUAAGUUGGGAGGAAGGGCAGUAAGUUAAUACCUUGCUGUUUUGACGUUACCAACAGAAUAAGCACCGGCUAACUUCGUGCCAGCAGCCGCGGUAAUACGAAGGGUGCAAGCGUUAAUCGGAAUUACUGGGCGUAAAGCGCGCGUAGGUGGUUCAGCAAGUUGAAGGUGAAAUCCCCGGGCUCAACCUGGGAACUGACACCAAAACUACUGAGCUAGAGUACAGUAGAUGGUAGUGGAAUUUCCUGUGGAGCGGUGAAAUGCAUAGAUAUAGGAAGGAACACCAGUGGCGAAGGCGACUACCUGGACUGAUACUGACACUGAGGUGCGAAAGCGUGGGGAGCAAACAGGAUUAGAAACCCGAGUAGUCC